UUUAUGGAGAGUUUGAUCCUGGCUCAGGAUGAACGCUGGCGGCGUGCCUAAUACAUGCAAGUCGAGCGAACGGACGAGAAGCUUGCUUCUCUGAUGUUAGCGGCGGACGGGUGAGUAACACGUGGAUAACCUACCUAUAAGACUGGGAUAACUUCGGGAAACCGGAGCUAAUACCGGAUAAUAUUUUGAACCGCAUGGUUCAAAAGUGAAAGACGGUCUUGCUGUCACUUAUAGAUGGAUCCCGCGC
rnacentral:rRNA from 1 species